AAGCAGAUCAAAGAAAGUCCACUAACAGUGCAACAUUAAAGGGGAAAGAUUUGAACGCUAAGAUCUCAAAUAAAAGCAUAAGAAAGACAAUUGAGGAUGUAUGUGAUGAAUUAAUGGAGAUGAGGAAGGAAAAGAAGACACUUGAAGCCAAAAUUAAGAAAGCUGAGAAAAUAUCAGGAGCAAUAAGAAAAGAGAUAAGGUCUUGGGCGAAGCAGUCGAAAGAUAAACAACACAGAAAGGAGGCAUAUUUCUGCAUGCUUGACCAGAGAAGGAUUUAUAACGAGGAAUGUUGGGUCCUCCAAUAUCGUAACUUAGAAUCUGUCAAAAGUUGCAUGAUUUAUAUGGACAAGUCUUCUUCGACAUGGGCAGGCGGCUGCAGAAAUUGGAUAUUAAGUCACAAUAUCAAUUGUUUGUGAUUUCUUUUUCUUUUUCUUUUUUCUUAGAGUGAGAUGUGAUAUGUAACCAAAUGUUGGUCCCACACGCUUCACAUAGUUUGAAAAGAACCGCAUUGUUUACAAUUUUAUGAAAGGUGUAAUUUGGUUAUUGAUUUUGUAUAUUUUUCAUUGAUGGUGAUUGAUAUUGAUAUUGAUAUUUGUGACAUGUAAUAUUUAACUGGAGAAAGAAUGAUAUUAAGGAAAAAGUAA